rnacentral:rRNA from 1 species
AUUGAACGCUGGCGGAAUGCUUUACACAUGCAAGUCGAACGGCAGCACGGGGGCAGCCCUGGUGGCGAGUGGCGAACGGGUGAGUAAUACAUCGGAACGUGCCCGGUCGUGGGGGAUAACGUAGCGAAAGUUACGCUAAUACCGCAUACGAUCUGAGGAUGAAAGCGGGGGACCUUCGGGCCUCGCGCGAUCGGAGCGGCCGAUGCCAGAUUAGGUAGUUGGUGGGGUAAAGGCCUACCAAGCCGACGAUCUGUAGCUGGUCUGAGAGGACGACCAGCCACACUGGGACUGAGACACGGCCCAGACUCCUACGGGAGGCAGCAGUGGGGAAUUUUGGACAAUGGGCGCAAGCCUGAUCCAGCCAUUCCGCGUGCAGGACGAAGGCCUUCGGGUUGUAAACUGCUUUUGUACGGAACGAAAAGGCUCUGGCUAAUACCUGGGGCUCAUGACGGUACCGUAAGAAUAAGCACCGGCUAACUACGUG